rnacentral:misc_RNA from 1 species
CCAAACUUGGUCAUUUAGAGGAAGUAAAAGUCGUAACAAGGUCUCCGUUGGUGAACCAGCGGAGGGAUCAUUACAAGAGAUGCCUCUGGCAACUCCCAACCCUUGCGAACCGUACCUGUUCUGUUUGUUGCUUCCGGCAGGCGGCCGCCUCGCGCCCAGCCUCCUCCUCCAGGGGGGAUGGGCAGGGGCGGCCCGCAGGCUCUGGUGCCACGCCCAGGCGCCUGCCGGAGGCGGCUGCUUCUCUGCACACGCCUGUCUUUUAGUGAACGUCUGAGCAAAAAAAAACAAAAAAUUGUCAAAACUUUCAACAACGGAUCUCUUGGUUCUGGCAUCGAUGAAGAACGCAGC